rnacentral:rRNA from 1 species
UAAUACGAAGGGGGCUAGCGUUGUUCGGAAUUACUGGGCGUAAAGCGCACGUAGGCGGACAUUUAAGUCAGGGGUGAAAUCCCGGAGCUCAACUCCGGAACUGCCUUUGAUACUGGGUGUCUUGAGUAUGGAAGAGGUAAGUGGAAUUCCGAGUGUAGAGGUGAAAUUCGUAGAUAUUCGGAGGAACACCAGUGGCGAAGGCGGCUUACUGGUCCAUUACUGACGCUGAGGUGCGAAAGCGUGGGGAGCAAACAGG